rnacentral:rRNA from 1 species
GUCCUGGUGCCAGCAGCCGCGGUAAUACGGAGGAUGCAAGCGUUAUCCGGAUUUAUUGGGCGUAAAGCGUCCGCAGGUGGCUUUUCAAGUCUGCUGUCAAAUACCAGAGCUCAACUCUGGACAGGCGGUGGAAACUGGGAAGCUAGAGUACGGUAGGGGUAGAGGGAAUUUCCAGUGUAGCGGUGAAAUGCGUAGAGAUUGGAAAGAACACCAGUGGCGAAGGCGCUCUACUGGACCGUAACUGACACUCAGGGACGAAAGCUAGGGGAGCGAAAGGGAUUAGAUACCCCUGUAGUCCUAGCUGUAAACGAUGGAUACUAGGCGUUGCUUGUAUCGACCCGAGCAGUGCCGAAGCCAACGCGUUAAGUAUCCCGCCUGGGGAGUACGCACGCAAGUGUGAAACUCAAAGGAAUUGACGGGGGCCCGCACAAGCGGUGGAGUAUGUGGUUUAAUUCGAUGCAACGCGAAGAACCUUACCAGGACUUGACAUGUCGCGAAUCUCCUUGAAAGAGGAGAGUGCCUUAGGGAGCGCGAACACAGGUGGUGCAUGGCCGUUCUU